rnacentral:lncRNA from 1 species
GCAUUACGCGACAAUGAAUUGAAGCUAAGCAUUUCGACACAAUUGCCUGUCUGGUUAGGAAAAUAAUUAGGACUUUGAGAGUGACUCCAACCGAAUAAGAUAAUUUAUU